CUCCGUCUCCACCGUGGAUCUGUAGUCUUUGACAAGAGCCACAUGCUCCUCGUUCUUGCGACUCUCCUCCUUCUGCUCUAUCGACGACACAAUCCUCCACGCGGCUCGGAGCGAGCCGAUCACGUUCUUGUAGGCCACGGAGAGGAGGUUCCUCUCCUCGACGGUGAGCUCCGACAUGGAGGUCCACCCGAUUACAAGCUUUUCCAUGAAUUUGACCAUCUCCUCAUAUCGCUCGGCUUGCUCGGCGAGUUUGGCCAGGUACACGUACUGCUCUCUGGUGAGAUUCUCCGGCAGUGUGGACGCCAUCACAGUAAAGUCCGAGUUGCAGAC
rnacentral:lncRNA from 1 species